CCCCCAGUAGCGGCGAGCGAACGGGGAGGAGCCCAGAGCCUGAAUCAGUGUGUGUGUUAGUGGAAGCGUCUGGAAAGGCGCGCGAUACAGGGUGACAGCCCCGUACACAAAAAUGCACAUGCUGUGAGCUCGAUGAGUAGGGCGGGACACGUGGUAUCCUGUCUGAAUAUGGGGGGACCAUCCUCCAAGGCUAAAUACUCCUGACUGACCGAUAGUGAACCAGUACCGUGAGGGAAAGGCGAAAAGAACCCCGGCGAGGGGAGUGAAAAAGAACCUGAAACCGUGUACGUACAAGCAGUGGGAGCACGCUUAGGCGUGUGACUGCGUACCUUUUGUAUAAUGGGUCAGCGACUUAUAUUCUGUAGCAAGGUUAACCGAAUAGGGGAGCCGAAGGGAAACCGAGUCUUAACUGGGCGUUAAGUUGCAGGGUAUAGACCCGAAACCCGGUGAUCUAGCCAUGGGCAGGUUGAAGGUUGGGUAACACUAACUGGAGGACCGAACCGACUAAUGUUGAAAAAUUAGCGGAUGACUUGUGGCUGGGGGUGAAAGGCCAAUCAAACCGGGAGAUAGCUGGUUCUCCCCGAAAGCUAUUUAGGUAGCGCCUCGUGAAUUCAUCUCCGGGGGUAGAGCACUGUUUCGGCAAGGGGGUCAUCCCGACUUACCAACCCGAUGCAAACUGCGAAUACCGGAGAAUGUUAUCACGGGAGACACACGGCGGGUGCUAACGUCCGUCGUGAAGAGGGAAACAACCCAGACCGCCAGCUAAGGUCCCAAAGUCAUGGUUAAGUGGGAAACGAUGUGGGAAGGCCCAGACAGCCAGGAUGUUGGCUUAGAAGCAGCCAUCAUUUAAAGAAAGCGUAAUAGCUCACUGGUCGAGUCGGCCUGCGCGGAAGAUGUAACGGGGCUAAACCAUGCACCGAAGCUGCGGCAGCGACACUGUGUGUUGUUGGGUAGGGGAGCGUUCUGUAAGCCUGUGAAGGUGUACUGUGAGGUAUGCUGGAGGUAUCAGAAGUGCGAAUGCUGACAUAAGUAACGAUAAAGCGGGUGAAAAGCCCGCUCGCCGGAAGACCAAGGGUUCCUGUCCAACGUUAAUCGGGGCAGGGUGAGUCGACCCCUAAGGCGAGGCCGAAAGGCGUAGUCGAUGGGAAACAGGUUAAUAUUCCUGUACUUGGUGUUACUGCGAAGGGGGGACGGAGAAGGCUAUGUUGGCCGGGCGACGGUUGUCCCGGUUUAAGCGUGUAGGCUGGUUUUCCAGGCAAAUCCGGAAAAUCAAGGCUGAGGCGUGAUGACGAGGCACUACGGUGCUGAAGCAACAAAUGCCCUGCUUCCAGGAAAAGCCUCUAAGCAUCAGGUAACAUCAAAUCGUACCCCAAACCGACACAGGUGGUCAGGUAGAGAAUACCAAGGCGCUUGAGAGAACUCGGGUGAAGGAACUAGGCAAAAUGGUGCCGUAACUUCGGGAGAAGGCACGCUGAUAUGUAGGUGAAGCGACUUGCUCGUGGAGCUGAAAUCAGUCGAAGAUACCAGCUGGCUGCAACUGUUUAUUAAAAACACAGCACUGUGCAAACACGAAAGUGGACGUAUACGGUGUGACGCCUGCCCGGUGCCGGAAGGUUAAUUGAUGGGGUUAGCGGUAACGCGAAGCUCUUGAUCGAAGCCCCGGUAAACGGCGGCCGUAACUAUAACGGUCCUAAGGUAGCGAAAUUCCUUGUCGGGUAAGUUCCGACCUGCACGAAUGGCGUAAUGAUGGCCAGGCUGUCUCCACCCGAGACUCAGUGAAAUUGAACUCGCUGUGAAGAUGCAGUGUACCCGCGGCAAGACGGAAAGACCCCGUGAACCUUUACUAUAGCUUGACACUGAACAUUGAGCCUUGAUGUGUAGGAUAGGUGGGAGGCUUUGAAGUGUGGACGCCAGUCUGCAUGGAGCCGACCUUGAAAUACCACCCUUUAAUGUUUGAUGUUCUAACGUGGACCCGUGAUCCGGGUUGCGGACAGUGUCUGGUGGGUAGUUUGACUGGGGCGGUCUCCUCCUAAAGAGUAACGGAGGAGCACGAAGGUUGGCUAAUCCUGGUCGGACAUCAGGAGGUUAGUGCAAUGGCAUAAGCCAGCUUGACUGCGAGCGUGACGGCGCGAGCAGGUGCGAAAGCAGGUCAUAGUGAUCCGGUGGUUCUGAAUGGAAGGGCCAUCGCUCAACGGAUAAAAGGUACUCCGGGGAUAACAGGCUGAUACCGCCCAAGAGUUCAUAUCGACGGCGGUGUUUGGCACCUCGAUGUCGGCUCAUCACAUCCUGGGGCUGAAGUAGGUCCCAAGGGUAUGGCUGUUCGCCAUUUAAAGUGGUACGCGAGCUGGGUUUAGAACGUCGUGAGACAGUUCGGUCCCUAUCUGCCGUGGGCGCUGGAGAACUGAGGGGGGCUGCUCCUAGUACGAGAGGACCGGAGUGGACGCAUCACUGGUGUUCGGGUUGUCAUGCCAAUGGCACUGCCCGGUAGCUAAAUGCGGAAGAGAUAAGUGCUGAAAGCAUCUAAGCACGAAACUUGCCCCGAGAUGAGUUCUCCCUGACCCUUUAAGGGUCCUGAAGGAACGUUGAAGACGACGACGUUGAUAGGCCGGGUGUGUAAGCGCAGCGAUGCGUUGAGCUAACCGGUACUAAUGAACCGUGAGGCUUAACCUU
rnacentral:rRNA from 1 species